rnacentral:tRNA from 1 species
UUUAGAUGAUUAUGUAUGGAAAUAUAACCUUGAUCAUCUGACUGUUAAUCAGAGGGUCGCUGGUUCGAGCCCAGCAGAGGGA